rnacentral:piRNA from 1 species
UCCCUUGUAGCUCUCAGGACCUAUUUGAGGCA